rnacentral:tRNA from 1 species
AUCCCUGUGGCUCAGUCGGUAGAGCAUGGUCUUUGCAACGCCAGGGUUGUGGGUUCGAUUCCCACGGGGGGCC